UACGUAGGGGGCUAGCGUUGUCCGGAUUUACUGGGCGUAAAGGGCGCGUAGGCGGCAAUUCAAGUCAUCUGUGAAAUCUCCGAGCUUAACUCGGAACGGUCAGAUGAUACUGCUUUGCUAGAGUGCAGAAGGGGCAACCGGAAUUCUUGGUGUAGCGGUGAAAUGCGUAGAUAUCAAGAGGAACACCGGAGGUGAAGACGGGUUGCUGGGCUGACACUGACGCUGAGGCGCGAAAGCUAGGGUAGCAAACAGG
rnacentral:rRNA from 1 species